rnacentral:rRNA from 1 species
AGAGAUGUGGAGGAACACCGGUGGCGAAGGCGACUCUUUCUUAAGAAGAUGACGCUGAGGAUCGAAAGCGUGGGGAGCGAACAGGAUUAGAUGCCCUGGUAGUCCACGCCGUAAACGAUGAGUGGUAAGUGUUAGGGGGUUUCCGCCCCUUAGUGCUGCAGCUAACGCAUUAAGCAGUCCGGCUGGGGAGUACGGUCGGUAGACUGAAACUCAAAGG